UUUUCAUCGGAUAUCCCCAACAAAAUGAUGGAUUUCUCUGCUACAGUCCAGAAGAAAAUAAAAUCUAUAUAUCCAAAAACGUUAAAUUCAUUGAAAAUGAUUUUUCAUUAAAUGAAUUUCUGUAUUCCAGCAAGAACCCGAGAUCGGAGAGCCACGUCACCGUCUCGUCGGCAGAUCUGGAAUCCUUGACACCAGUCAGACAGAAGCAACGGUUUCAGCGAUGAGCCUAGAUCCACUACUCAACUUAACCAAUCCAAUUCCCGAAGUCGGAGAAGAGCAGGAAGG
rnacentral:lncRNA from 1 species